GCCAGAGCCAUAUCACCCUGCAUCUCUCACCUGGUUUCCCAUUGAUGCUAAGCAGGGUUUAUACCUGGCCAGUACCGUGAUGGGAGUCCUCCUGGGGAAAACUAAAGGUUGUUGCUGGAA
rnacentral:rRNA from 1 species